AAAAUCCGUCGACUUUAGAAAUCGUGAGGGUUCAAGUCCCUCU
rnacentral:tRNA from 3 species